rnacentral:lncRNA from 1 species
CCGCUCUCUGUGGGGGCCCCCCUUGAAGUGGUGCCCCACUGCGUGGGCUACAUCCGGAAACAGGGUCUGCCUUUGCGGAUGGAGCCUGGGGGCCUCAGGCUGCAAAUCACAGACUUCCAGCGUGGUGAUUUCUCACAGCCACCCUGAGACACAAACCCACACACUCAGCACUUUCUGCAGAUGACCUGUUAGACUGCAGACCUGUGGGGUCACAUUGGAUGAAGACUUCCUUCCUGCGACAUCUGCCUUUGGGCCUGGUCACCGCCCCGGGCUGCCUUUCCUGUGGUACUGGGAGGUUACAGGUCAAUCACUUCAUCCAAACACCAUAUACGUGAUUUUAUGGGAUAAGACCUCCGAAGAGCAACGUUCCUUGGGACUUUCAGAAUAGACUGUAUUUAGCAAAUUGUUGGUGACUCAGCAGUAAAGAAUCCACCUACAAUACAGGAGCCACAGGAGACGUGGGUUUGAUCCCUGGGUCAGGAAGAUCCCCUGGAGGAGGGCAUGACAACCCACUCCAGUACUAUAGCCUGGAGAAUCUCAUGGACAGAGGAGCCUGGUGGGCUACAGUCCAUAGCACCACAAAGAGUCAGAAAUGACUGAAUCAACUUAGCCUGCCUGCACGCAGAGCAAAAUGGUAGAUAACCUGUUUACGGUGAAAAACAAGACAAGACUCCUUUGCCAAUGUAGUGUCUGCUGUUGCAGAGAAUGAAAUUUAGCAAGAAACAAAUAGACCAGCUAUAAGAACCUUGCCCCUGACUACCCAUUCAGGAUGGAGUCAUAAACAGCA